UGUGUGUUGUUCACCAGUAAGAAAAACAAAAUAAGGUGCGAUGUUUCACAAAGAACAAGGACAUACACGUCCAUCAACCUUGAUUUGGAAAUGAAAGACAUGAGAAACAUGUUAAACAUCUUAUUUAUUUUAAAAAGAAGGGAGGAACGGAGGAAUUAUUGUUGAAGGACUUCCUGGGUUUUGAAGUGUUUUUAUUUUAUUUUAUAUAUUUUAAUUGUAAAUACAUUAUUGUAUGAAAAAAUGAUAAAUUAUGAGUUUUUCAAACGUAUCAGGGAUUUACUCUUCAGAAAAACUGAUGCUCAGCUCAGUGACCCUGGAGUGAUGGUAAUAAAUAACACGGAGCAAACUGGGUAAGACCGCUUGCCUUUUACUUUGAAAAGCGGGCACCGGAAGCGUCGUCGCGGUUGUUGUAGCUUGAAGCUAACAGGUGGGGAAGAUGUCGGCUUGUGUCAGAGCGUUGAAAAGCCGUUUGUCGGCUCUUUGUCCGGCUGGUUUCACUUCACUGCUCCGGAGGAAUCAUCCGGUGAGAUUUCCCGCCGGAGGACGGCGGAUGUCUCACACACAGACAGGAGAAGACCUUGGACCACUGGAGGGCGUCAGAGUGUUAGACUUGACGAGGGUUCUGGCUGGUCCCUUCGCCACCAUGAUCCUGGGAGAUCUGGGAGCUGAGGUGAUCAAGGUGGAGAGACCAGGUGCAGGUGAUGACACCAGAGCCUGGGGUCCUCCGUUCGUCAGUUCAGAGAGCGCCUAUUUCCUCAGCGUCAACAGGAACAAGAAAGUAAGUCAGGACACUUUGAAGCAGCUGGAGAAAGUCUGUUCAACACACACUCACAGUAACUCAGGGAUCCUCGCUCAGCGCUGUUGUAACCCAGGUUACUAGGCCCAUAUUAGUAGUCCAGUUCACCUGUUAAUUGAUUAGAUCAAUAAAUUAAUAUUUUUGAUGUGACAGAUAAAUAAAUAAAUAGGAUUUAUGAUUAAAAUCUUAAAUAUGUCAAUAAAUAGAUUAACAAAACAAAAAAUAACAAAUAUAUAUAUAUAUACAAGUUAUUUAUCUGUUUAAAAAGAGUAUUUUGUUUUAUUUCAAGUGUGGUGAAUGUGCCUUUGCAAAGUGUACAAGAUUCGGGUGACAUGAGGAGUUCACGUGAUGGUAACGCAGCUUAGCCAAUCAGACGCCGUCAGGGUGUACGUGCAGUCGUGUGUUGUUUUCUUCUUCUCUCUCUCUGCCGGACCGUCGUCGAGGCGGCUGCAUGCUAACCCUUCGCUGCAGAUAUUAAUGUUUUGAGUAAGAGAGCUAGAUAUUCCAACGUCUGUUUGACUUUAUCAUCGGUGCAGAGAGCGAAGCUCCUUUUUAUUUUGCCGUGGGUUGAAUAGCGGACCGUGUGUUUGUGACGGAAGCGGAGGAGAACCGGAACCUGGACUGAUGAGAGCCGUGUAUUCUGCCUUGUACCCUGAGUGUGUGUAGGAUGCUUGAGCCUCUGGUGAGUAAACUUUAUCGAUAAAAGUCCGGUAAAUGGAGUUGAAAUGUGCAUCUGCUAAUGGUAAUAUGGAGAAACGAGGCAGUAAAUUCAUGCAUUGUUGUGUUUGAAAAGAAAAAAAGUUUUUAUUACAGUGUUUUAUUUACAUUUACCCUCACUCCGUGUAUUUUCUCUGAGAGUGAAUGGCGGGAAAAAGGAAGAUGAAUGGAGAGAAAUGUUCAGCCAUUUUGCAUUUUGUCUCAUGUUAAUACUGAGAAAUGUGUUCAGUUCAUUUAAAGGACAGUUAAGAGUAGUUAAAAUUAUUUUUAAAAUACAGUGUUAUAAUGUACAUGUAUAAAUAUGUGUGUUAAUAUGCAUUUAUUUCCAUUUAAAGGUAUAUUUUGUUUACAUGAAUAUUACAGUAACCCUCUUUUGGCCUUUAUAAGCCGGGUCUUUUUCUUUGGAUGGAUUUUUGAGGUUGAGAUGUGCAUGAAGACUUCAUCUUCUUCUGCUGGGAUGUCUCCUACUCUGUAAAGGUAGAAGGGAGCCUCAGUAGUUGUGGCGAGCCAUCCAAAACAGAGACUGUGAUUCAUUCAGUGACUGGGUUUAUGGAAAGCUGUUGUUGAUAUCUCAUGUGUGUGCUGAAGAUUUAAAAUUAUUCUGUUAUUUAUUAAAAAAAAUUAUUUUCUUUUCUUUAGUCAACACAAUACAACUCACUUAAAACUUA